GCGAGAGUGGCGGAAUUGGCAGACGCGCGGGAGUUAGGAUCCCGUGAGGCAACUCGUGGGGGUUCAACUCCCCCCUCUCGCACCA
rnacentral:tRNA from 1 species